CCUACGGGCGGCUGCAGUGGGGAAUAUUGGACAAUGGGCGAAAGCCUGAUCCAGCCAUGCCGCGUGUGUGAAGAAGGCCUUCGGGUUGUAAAGCACUUUCAGUGGGGAAGAAAGCCUUGGGGCUAAUACCCUCGAGGAAGGACAUCACCCACAGAAGAAGCACCGGCUAACUCCGUGCCAGCAGCCGCGGUAAUACGGAGGGUGCGAGCGUUAAUCGGAAUUACUGGGCGUAAAGCGCGCGUAGGCGGUCUGAUAAGCCGGUUGUGAAAGCCCCGGGCUCAACCUGGGAACGGCAUCCGGAACUGUCAGGCUAGAGUGCAGGAGAGGAAGGUAGAAUUCCCGGUGUAGCGGUGAAAUGCGUAGAGAUCGGGAGGAAUACCAGUGGCGAAGGCAGCCUUCUGGACUGACACUGACGCUGAGGUGCGAAAGCGUGGGUAGCAAACAGGAUUAGAUACCCCAGUAGUC
rnacentral:rRNA from 1 species